AUUGAACGCUGGCGGCAUGCCUUACACAUGCAAGUCGAACGGCAGCGCGGGAGCAAUCCUGGCGGCGAGUGGCGAACGGGUGAGUAAUACAUCGGAACGUGCCCAAUCGUGGGGGAUAACGCAGCGAAAGCUGUGCUAAUACCGCAUACGAUCUACGGAUGAAAGCAGGGGAUCGCAAGACCUUGCGCGAAUGGAGCGGCCGAUGGCAGAUUAGGUAGUUGGUGAGGUAAAGGCUCACCAAGCCUUCGAUCUGUAGCUGGUCUGAGAGGACGACCAGCCACACUGGGACUGAGACACGGCCCAGACUCCUACGGGAGGCAGCAGUGGGGAAUUUUGGACAAUGGGCGAAAGCCUGAUCCAGCCAUGCCGCGUUCAGGAUGAAGGCCUUCGGGUUGUAAACUGCUUUUGUACGGAACGAAACGGUCUUUUCUAAUAAAGAAGGCUAAUGACGGUACCGUAAGAAUAAGCACCGGCUAACUACGUG
rnacentral:rRNA from 1 species